GACGUAGGGGGCGAGCGUUGUCCGGAUUUACUGGGCGUAAAGCGCCCGCAGGCGGCUGAGUAAGUCAGAUGUGAAAAGCCCCAGGCUCAACCUGGGGGAGGCCAUCUGAUACUGCUCUAGCUAGAGUCCGGUAGGGGAGCACGGAAUCUCCGGUGUAGCGGUGAAAUGCUUAGAUAUCGGAGGGAACACCAGCAGCGAAGGCGGUGCUCGGGCCGGUACUGACGCUCAUGGGCGAAAGCGUGGGGAGC
rnacentral:rRNA from 1 species